UAGGACACAACUUGGAGGUUCGGUCGC
rnacentral:sRNA from 1 species